rnacentral:rRNA from 1 species
GGAAUCAACGCUGGCGGCGUGCCUAACACAUGCAAGUCGAACGCGAAAGGGAGCAAUCCCUGAGUAGAGUGGCAAACGGGUGAGUAACACGUGGGUGACCUGCCUUCGAGUGGGGGAUAACGUCCCGAAAGGGACGCUAAUACCGCAUGACAUCCUGUCCUUAGACGGACGGAGAUCAAAGCUAGGGAUCGCAAGACCUGGCGCUUGAAGAGGGGCCCGCGCCUGAUUAGCUAGUUGGUGAGGUAACGGCUCACCAAGGCUUCGAUCAGUA